rnacentral:rRNA from 1 species
GACGGAGGGUGCUAGCGUUGUUCGGAAUGACUGGGCGUAAAGGGCGCGUAGGCGGCUCGUGAAGUCGGGUGUGAAAGCCCGGGGCUCAGCCCCGGAACGGCAUCCGAUACUGGCGGGCUUGAGACCGGGAGAGGAGGGUGGAAUUCCCGGUGUAGCGGUGAAAUGCGCAGAUAUCGGGAGGAACACCGGUGGCGAAGGCGGUUCUCUGGGCCUUACCUGACGCUGAGGAGCGAAAGCGUGGGGAGCGAACAGG